AAUUCUCAACCCAUUCAGCUUUUGUUAGUUGAAUGUGGCUUGGAUUGUGGAGGUUGUGCGGGCUUUUUACAAGUCGGCUCCUCUUAAAUGCAUUAGCGGAAAACCCUUGUGGACCGUCUUUGGUGUGAUAAUUAUCUACGCCAUCGCCGUGAAGCAGCUAUACAAUGGGGCUUCAGCUUCAAACCGUCCUUUUAGAGGACAACACUUAAUUGACA
rnacentral:misc_RNA from 1 species